UUGAACGCUGGCGGCAUGGCUAAACAUGCAAGUCGAACGCGAAAGGGAGCAAUCCCAAGUAGAGUGGCGAAAGGGCGAGUAAUACAUUCCUACGUACCUCGAGGUCGGGGAUAGCCAGGGGAAACCCUGAUUAAUACCCGAUGUGGUCGCCGGGUUAAACCGGCGAUCAAAGGCUUGCCGCCUUGAGAGCGGGGAAUGUCCUAUCAGGUAGUUGGUGAGGUAACGGCUCACCAAGCCUUAGACGGGUAGCGGGUGUGAGAGCACGGCCCGCCGCAUCGGGACUGAGACACUGCCCGGACUCCUACGGGAGGCUGCAGUAACGAAUCUUCCACAAUGCGCGAAAGCGUGAUGGAGCAAUGCCGCGUGCAGGAUGAAGCCCUUCGGGGUGUAAACUGCUGUCAGGGUUUAGCAAAAAAUGAAGCAGACCCAAAGGAAGAGGUGGCUAACUCUGUGCCAGCAGCCGCGGUAAUU
rnacentral:rRNA from 1 species